rnacentral:rRNA from 1 species
AUUGAACGCUGGCGGCAUGCCUUACACAUGCAAAUCGAACGGCAGCACGGGAGCAAUCCUGGUGGCGAGUGGCGAACGGGUGAGUAAAGCAUCGGAACGUGCCCAGUCGUGGGGGAUAACGUAGCGAAAGCUACGCUAAUACCGCAUACGAUCUGUGGAUGAAAGCGGGGGACCGUAAGGCCUCGCGCGAUUGGAGCGGCCGAUGUCAGAUUAGGUAGUUGGUGAGGUAAAGGCUCACCAAGCCGACGAUCUGUAGCUGGUCCGAGAGGACGACCAGCCACACUGGGACUGAGACACGGCCCAGACUCCUACGGGAGGCAGCAGUGGGGAAUUUUGGACAAUGGGCGCAAGCCUGAUCCAGCAAUGCCGCGUGCAGGAUGAAGGCCUUCGGGUUGUAAACUGCUUUUGUACGGAGCGAAACGGCUUCCACUAAUACUGGGGGCUAAUGACGGUACCGUAAGAAUAAGCACCGGCUAACUACGUGCCAGCAGCCGCCGUAAUAC